rnacentral:tRNA from 1 species
GCCCAGAUGGCGGAAUGGUAGACGCGGCGGCCUCAAAAGCCGUUGUUCGAGAGGGCGUGCGGGUUCGAGUCCCGCUCUGGGCA